UUCCACGGAGGCCUCCGUGUAGGCCGCAGUGAAGCCUGAACUCGAGUAGGGCCCAAGCCAGCCAGGAAGGAGGAGGCAGCCAGAGUGUUCUCUGCAGCAGAAGACCCCCUGCUGCACUGCUUAACCCAGACCAGCAUUUGCCAGGUUCAGUCUGAAGAAAGAGACCAGCCACGUUUGAAGUCUCAUUUGAAGAUGGGCGUUGGCCACUGUCAUGGUGCAUGAGGCCAUCAUGUCAUGCCCCUGUCCUCAGAUAGUGAAGGGGAAGAGGACGUUGACAGCCCUCCAGCUGAUGCAAGGGUACCUGAAGGGCAGAGCCCAGCUGUCAGUCUACCGGAAAUAGCUGAAGCAGGACCAGUUGCAGUCCCAGAACAACCAGAGCAGUCAGAGGUAGCAGUGACGGGGAGUGGAGAGCAGGACCCUGAAUUAAACGGGGAGCCCCCUUUGACUCUGCAACAGAAGAGAAUGACGAGACACCAACAACAGCAGGAAGUUCUCAGAAGAAGUAAACGCCUCCUUUAAAAGGCAGAUAAACCCUGAAUCCGUGCCAGCUGAGAGCAAUCAAGCCAGGCUAUAAAUCAAGUCUGCAGGCUGCAGCCAGAUGCUGGAUAACAACACAUGUCUAUCGUGCAGCAUACACAAGCCCCCAGCCUGAGCAAAGGAGAUUCCCAGCCGUGUGUUGGCCUCUGCAACCCAGACUGAUUUCCUACUUGAACUCUGUCUCCUUCCGUGCCCUGCUCUGUUCCCUGCUCUGAAUGCUGAACAGCUAGACUCCACUGCAUCGUCCCUCCUGGGAGUGCCUUACUUUCUUGCUUCGCACUGGCUCUGUGGAAUCUAGCCAGAGGAAGCAUCCAAUGACCAUGACCUACCACCUAGACUCCAAAGCUGGGCGGACAGGCUGCUGACACAUCAGGCCCAGAAGGCGCUGUAUCAAGCGUGCCCUCUGCUGAAGGAAUGAAGGGAAAGGAACAGACCUUUCAUGAGGCAGCUCAAGUGGUGAAUGAGAAGGAACUGAAAAGGGAGACGCUCUACAGUCUGCUUUAUAGGCUCCGGUAUUCCUAUGCCUUAAAGGGACAGAGAGCGCCUAAUCAGAGCUAUAGAUUCCCACGCGGUACUCCUGUGCAGGCGCAGAAGAUCCAGUUGUGAGGGACCAUGGAGCCCUACAGAGAUCAUCUAGUUUGGGUCUAAGUAUAAAGGAGCAAAAAAAAAUCAUCUCUUCAUUAAGCUUGCAGAGCAGCCAUAAAUAUUCAGACAUUAAGCAUAUCAGUACUUACUUCCUAAAGAGAAGGAAUCACAGAACCAACAGUAUUGCAAGGAAUUUGGUUAGCAACAGGGAAAACACACAAUUUACCGAGAAUCUGAGGGUGCCAUGCAAGAAAUACCAAACUUUAGAAUUAUUUAAACGCUCUUGGAACAUACUUUCAUUGUCUUUGGGUAGAAAAGUACGUUGUUGUCUCAGAAAAGCUGUGCGGAAAGGGGUAGGAGUACCAGAUCUUCCGGAGCCCCCUGGGCGAUCGCUCCUCAGUGAAAAAAUGUUUGUGGUACCUGAAAUCCAACGCAAUAAAUAAACAUCUGAAAACUAUUGAAAAGUUCAUGAGUGAAGGUUUAAGAAAUGCAGCCAGAUUUUACAGUCAGCCCAACAGAAUACAUGGAACCUAAUAACUGAUGGUGGUUUACAAAGCCAGUGGUUGUGGAAUAUCAAUUCUCUGAUUUUGGACAAUCACUAAGGAUCCUAUACAGACUUACUUGAGAAUAAGCCCUAUUAAAGACACUCACUUCUGAGCAACAUGUAUUGAAUAGGAUUCAAAAGUUUGAAGCCUACUCUGAGAAGAGCAGGAGCAGCUUCAGGAGAAGAGGAAACUUCUCCAAAACGAGGAGCAUGGUGAAAAGAAAGCUGAAAGGGAAAAUCAGGAGAGUCACUUCGCUCCAGAAUGCAUGGAGUUUACUCAAAACCACAAUACUAGAAGCUCAGUUAUAUUGUAUACCCAAAAGGAGGAAAGGUACCACUAAGUCCAGGAGGAUACCAGCAUGGCUAACAGGUAACAUCAAGGAAGCCAUAAAAGGGAAGAAGACUUCCUUCCAAAAUUGGAAGGCCUGCCCAAAUGAAGAGAACAGAAAGGAACACAAACUCUGGUAAAAGAA